rnacentral:piRNA from 1 species
UAACAGAUGUCUGAUGUUUGGUGUGCUUC